AUAUUGGUCAAUAGCCUAACGGCUGAACCAGCAACUUGGAGGAAUGUAUAGCGAAAGCUGGUUGUAUUAACUUAUAGUUAGUGCAGCAUCGACUAUGUCGAAUAAAGUUCUAGGUAGAGUUAUGAUAAUGACAUUUUCUAUCUAUAUGUCUCGACCAAAUCACGUGCCAGCAGUCGCGGUAAUACGUGGGAGACUAGUGUUAUUCAUCUUUAAUUGGUUUAAAGGGUACCUAGACAGUGCAUCAAGCCCCUAAAGGGUACUAAUGUACUAGAGUUUUAUGAGAGGGAGAAUUGGUGUACAUAAGAGUGUAGAGAUGAAAUUCUGUCAUACCUUGUGUGUUACAGGUAACAGCGAAAGCAACCCCUUAUGUAAAAACUGACGUUGAAGGACGAAGGCUUAGUAAAACGAACAGGAUUAGAUACCCCAGUAGCCUAUGCAGACAAUGAUGAAUGUCAUAGAUUGGAAUUAAGUAUUUUUUUUAUAAAAAUAUAGUUUUAUCUAUAAAUGAAAGUGUAAGCAUUCCACCUCAAGAGUAAUGUGGCAACGCAGGAACUGAAAUCAUUAGACCGUUUCUGAAACCAGUAGUGAAGUAUGUUAUUUAAUUUGUUGGCCCGCAAAACACCUUACCACAACUUGAAUACUUCGAUAAUAUCGAAAUACAAGCGUUGCACGGCUGUCUUCAGUUAAUGUCGUGAGAUCUUGGUUUUUUCCAUAAAAUUAACGUAAACCCUUACUUUAUUUUUGUUAUAGAGUAGUUCACCGUUAUAUUGGAUAUGAUAAAAGGGACUAGGACAAGUCCACAUGGCCUUAAUGUUGUGGGCUAUA
rnacentral:rRNA from 1 species